AUCAUUUCUUUCCCCGUCAGAUCGACCCUGUUGAUCUCAAAUACUAAUUGCCAGUUUUGUCUGAUG